UACGAAGGGGGCUAGCGUUGUUCGGAAUUACUGGGCGUAAAGCGCACGUAGGCGGAUAUUUAAGUCAGGGGUGAAAUCCCGGAGCUCAACUCCGGAACUGCCCUUGAAACUGCAGUGCUAGAAUCUUGGAGAGGCGAGUGGAAUUCCGAGUGUAGAGGUGAAAUUCGUAGAUAUUCGGAAGAACACCAGUGGCGAAGGCGACUCGCUGGACAAGUAUUGACGCUGAGGUGCGAAAGCGUGGGGAGCAAACAGG
rnacentral:rRNA from 1 species